CAGGCUUAACACAUGCAAGUCGAGGGGCAGCAUGGUCUUAGCUUGCUAAGGCCGAUGGCGACCGGCGCACGGGUGAGUAACACGUAUCCAACCUGCCGUCUACUCUUGGACAGCCUUCUGAAAGGAAGAUUAAUACAAGAUGGCAUCAUGAGUCCGCAUGUUCACAUGAUUAAAGGUAUUCCGGUAGACGAUGGGGAUGCGUUCCAUUAGAUAGUAGGCGGGGUAACGGCCCACCUAGUCUUCGAUGGAUAGGGGUUCUGAGAGGAAGGUCCCCCACAUUGGAACUGAGACACGGUCCAAACUCCUACGGGAGGCAGCAGUGAGGAAUAUUGGUCAAUGGGCGAGAGCCUGAACCAGCCAAGUAGCGUGAAGGAUGACUGCCCUAUGGGUUGUAAACUUCUUUUAUAAAGGAAUAAAGUCGGGUAUGGAUACCCGUUUGCAUGUACUUUAUGAAUAAGGAUCGGCUAACUCCGUGCCAGCAGCCGCGGUAAUACGGAGGAUCCGAGCGUUAUCCGGAUUUAUUGGGUUUAAAGGGAGCGUAGAUGGAUGUUUAAGUCAGUUGUGAAAGUUUGCGGCUCAACCGUAAAAUUGCAGUUGAUACUGGAUAUCUUGAGUGCAGUUGAGGCAGGCGGAAUUCGUGGUGUAGCGGUGAAAUGCUUAGAUAUCACGAAGAACUCCGAUUGCGAAGGCAGCCUGCUAAGCUGCAACUGACAUUGAGGCUCGAAAGUGUGGGUAUCAAACAGGAUUAGAUACCCUGGUAGUCCACACGGUAAACGAUGAAUACUCGCUGUUUGCGAUAUACUGCAAGCGGCCAAGCGAGAGCGUUAAGUAUUCCACCUGGGGAGUACGCCGGCAACGGUGAAACUCAAAGGAAUUGACGGGGGCCCGCACAAGCGGAGGAACAUGUGGUUUAAUUCGAUGAUACGCGAGGAACCUUACCCGGGCUUAAAUUGCAGAUGAAUUACGGUGAAAGCCGUAAGCCGCAAGGCAUCUGUGAAGGUGCUGCAUGGUUGUCGUCAGUUCGUGCCGUGAGGUGUCGGCUUAAGUGCCAUAACGAGCGCAACCCUUGUUGUCAGUUACUAACAGGUUCCGCUGAGGACUCUGACAAGACUGCCAUCGUAAGAUGUGAGGAAGGUGGGGAUGACGUCAAAUCCGCACGGCCCUUACGUCCGGGGCUACACACGUGUUACAAUGGGGGGUACAGAGGGCCGCUACCACGCGAGUGGAUGCCAAUCCCCAAAACCUCUCUCAGUUCGGACUGGAGUCUGCAACCCGACUCCACGAAGCUGGAUUCGCUAGUAAUCGCGCAUCAGCCACGGCGCGGUGAAUACGUUCCCGGGCCUUGUACACACCGCCCGUCAAGCCAUGGGAGCCGGGGGUACCUGAAGUGCGUAACCGCGAGGAGCGCCCUAGGGUAAAACUGGUGACUG
rnacentral:rRNA from 1 species